GUCCCUGUGGCACAAUGGAUAGCGCGUUGGAUACUUCGUAUCCAAAGGUCGUGGGUUCGAAUUCCACCUGGGAUG